CACAGCCUGGCAAGCCCAGGCAUGGAGUGGGAGGUUCAUGCAAUCCACUCAUGGAGAGCAAGCACAUGAUGCUGGGCAUUGUACUGGGCAUGAUCAUGAGCAUGGACACAAGUGUGGUAAUGGGUGGUGUCUAAUAUUUUUUGAGGCUUGGUGUUCCUUGGAGAAAUUUUAACUCUCUAACCAUCCUUCUCAUUGUGCAUUGUGCAUGAGUUAAAUGCUUUGGUGUGUCUGGUUAAACUGUAACUUGGGUUACGCCCAUAUACAGUGCUCCAAUUUGUAAGAAUACAGAAUGUAUUUAAAGCGUCACCCAUAACUAAAACAUUGGACACAGUCUGCAGGGACUGCCUGAUACUGGACCCUCUUUCUUUACACAUUUCGACUGCAGUAAGGCCUCCCAUAGGCACAGUAUGAACCCCAACCGUCCAAAGCAACCAGGACCGGGUGGGCCGCCUGGCAGCACACCCCCACCACCAGGCAAGCCAGGGCAUGGAGGAGGAGGUCCGUGCAAUCCACCUGGGCCCCAUGGAGGGCCUGGGCAUGGGCCUGGGCCUGGGCAUGGGCCUGGGCAUGGGCCUGGUCAAGGUCAUGGGCCUGGUCAUGGGCCUGGUCAUGGGCCUGGGCACGGUCAUGGGCCUGGGCAUUGUCACUGACAUGGCAGACAUGGGAAAAAGCAUGUAAAAGCAUUCUGGAAGCAGCUCUGGCAGUGACUCUGAUUAGAGAGAGCAUGAAGAAACUCCACACACAUGGAAGCUGCACCCUGAUAUGUGGUCCACACUGUACAGCGAUAAUUUCUCCAUUUCAGUGUAUCAAAAUUCACCAAAUAAAUAAUCUAUGACUUCAGCAUAGCAUCAAACCUGGUAUUAAGGCACAUGAUCUACUAACUAUGCAACUUUGAAUCUAGCCUUUUUAAAUGUUAUGAUAAAUGUUAUUGUUUUCAGGUGCAGGAGAUAACUGACUAAUACUCUGUCCAGUUUGUUUACAUGUCAUUGCUGUCCAAAAAAGGUAAAUUUACAGGAUAAUAUAAGAAAAAAAAUCUUAACUUUUAAUUUAAGUUAAUGUAAAGAGAUUUUAUUUUUAUUCCAAGCUAUUUUGGAGCAUUUCUAUUGGUUUAUUCAUCAAUCAUUUUUCCCACAAUAUAAAGCACACCUGCUGUGCUCAAAUGAAAAUGAAAUCUGAAAAAAAAGUUUUUUGGGCAGCAGCGAUAUGUUCCUUGCAUUAUACACCACACAAUGUAGAUUGAACCAGAUAAAAUCUGUACGUAUUGGGAUUAUCAUGAACUGUCUCACUUAGCUAUAUCAGUAAGACAUUAUUUCGAGGAGUAAAAGGGUUUCUUCAUUCA